CAUCUCCCCUAAAAUCUCAAGCAACAGAAAGCUGCUGACUUGGUUGUUUUAUGUGGGUUGCUGAGGGAUUUGAGACAUUGGCAAUGUGCAAAGUCAUGACUGGUGGUGGUAGAGUUUCUAAUGAAAUCAAAAGACUACUAGCACAACCUUCAAAAAUAGCAGAGAUGGGCUGCUGCAACCCUCCAGAUACGGUUGACUGGAAGUGCUAUCAACCUUAGCCAGCAUAACCAAUGGUGAGCGAUGAUGGGAGCUGACCGCCUUAGAAUAUAGAGAGAAUUUCCCCCACUAUGCAGCUCAUUUAAAUGAGUAAUUAGCCAACCAUUCUGAAAUAUUAACAACUGUUAGU
rnacentral:lncRNA from 1 species